AUUCCAGCUCCAAUAGCGUAUAUUAAAGUUGUUGCAGUUAAAAAGCUCGUAGUUGGAUUUGUGGUGUCGCUUGCGGCCUGGUACAUAGUGCCGGUGCUUGCAGGCGACUCCAUCCUUGGGUGGAACCUGUGUGGCAUUAGGUUGUCGUGCAGGGGAUGCCCAUCAUUUACUGUGAAAAAAUUAGAGUGUUCAAAGCAGGCUUAUGCCGUUGAAUAUGUUAGCAUGGAAUAAUAAGAUAGGACCUUGGUACUAUUUUGUUGGUUUGCGCACCAAGGUAAUGAUUAAAAGGGACAGUUGUGGGUAUUCGUAUUCCAUUGUCAGAGGUGAAAUUCUUGGAUUUUUGGAAGACGAACUACUGCGAAAGCAUUUACCAAGGAUGUUUUC
rnacentral:rRNA from 1 species